AGGACGAACGCUGGCGGCGUGCUUAACACAUGCAAGUCGAACGGUGAAGGAGAGCUUGCUCUCUGGAUCAGUGGCGAACGGGUGAGUAACACGUGAGUAACCUGCCCUUGACUCUGGGAUAAGCGUUGGAAACGCGUCUAAUACCGGAUACGAGCUUCAGUCGCA
rnacentral:rRNA from 1 species